GGCCAACGGAACUUGGAAGCUGGGGAGCCGGGCACCUACUGGUCCAGUCCAGGAGAGGACGGAGGAGGGAUGGACUGGCUCUGCUGCAUCCCGCUCUCCCGAGGCCGAGGCCGAGGCCGCAGGCGUCGUCACGGCAGAGAUGGUCUCUGCCAGGCCUGCAGAACCUGGAUGAGAACGCGAGGCGGACGCCUAUGGGCCGUUGCCCGCAGGGACCCAGAGAGUCCCCCACCCGAGACCCGCCAGGAACAGGGUGAGGAAGGCAGAAGGCCACCCAAGGAACCUCCACACAGACUGCUCCCCGGGGUCCUCUGCCGGGCUGGUGGGGAGCACAGGAGCGCCAGCUGUGGCCAUGAAGACACUGUCCACAUGAGCCUGACAACCCUGGAAGGCCUGGCCCCUCCUGAGGCCCAGCCUGAAGGAGACCUGGCAUCAGAGGCCAAGACCCCAGCCGAGCGGAAAGACCCUGGAACAGCCCCCAGAGGAGGUCCAAGACCACAGGAGGACUCAGCACCUGGGCAGGGAGGAAAUGUAGCUCCUUCAGAGGGACACUCCUGUCCACAUGGGGACUCACCUCCCGGGGAGAAUGAACACUCUGCUCCUCUCCCAAUAGGCCAAGCUCUUCUUGAGGAGUCACCACCCGGACAGGGUGGAACCAAGGCGCCUCCUGCAGGAGGACCAGGCCCCCAUGAAGACUCAACUCAUGGGCAGGAUCAACCUGCUGCUCCUCCAGAAGGAAGACCAGAGCCUCCUGAGGUCUCACCUCCUGGGCAGGAUGAAAAUCCUGCUCCUCCUCCUGGAGGACCAGGUAAUCAUGAGGACUCAGCAGCCUUCCAGGAUGAAACUCUGGAGCCUCCUCCUGGAGGACGAGGCUCUCAGGAGGACUCAGCAGCCUUGCAGGAUGAAAAUCUGGCUCCUCCUCCAGGAGGACGAGGCCCUCAGGAGGACUCAGCAGCUUUGCAGGAUGAAAAUCCUGCUCCUCCUCCUGGAGGACGAGGCUCUCAUGAGGACGCACGAGCCGGGAGGGAUGAAAAUCCUGCUCCUCCUGCUGGAGGACGAGGCUCUCAUGAGGACUCAGAAGCCAGGCAGGAUGAACAUCCUGCUCUUCCUCCUGGAAGACCAGACUCUCCGGAGGACUCACGAGCCGGGAAGGAUGAAAAUCUAGUUCCUCCUCCUGGAGGACGAGGCUCUCAUGAUGUCUCUACAGCCGGGCAGGUUGAACAUCUUGCUCCUCCUACAGGAGGGCGAGGCACUCAUGAAGACUCCCCAGCGGGGCAGAUUGAAUAUCCUGCUCCUCCUCCAAGAAGACGAGGCUCUCAUGAUGUCUUACCAGCCGGGCAGGAUGAACAUGCUGCUCCUCCUACAGGAGGACGAGGCUCUCAGGAGGACUCCCCAGCCGGGCAGGUUGAAAAUCCUGGUGCUCCUCCUGGAGGACGAGGCCCUCAGGAGGACUCACGGGACGGGAAGGAUGAAAAUCCUGCUCCUCCUCCUGGAGGGCGAGGCUCUCAGGAGGACUUACUAGCUGAGCCGGAUGAACAACCUGCUCCUCCUCCAGGAGGACCAGGUUCUCAGGAGGACUCACGAGCCGGGAAGGAUGAAAAUCCUGUUCCUCCUCCUGGAGGACCAGGUUCUCAGGAUGUCUCGCCAGCCGGGCAGAAUGAACAUCCUGCUCCUCCUACAGAAGGACGAUGCUCUCGGGAGAACUCUCCAGCCAGGCAGGAUGCAUAUCCGGCUCCUCCAACAGGAGGACGAAUCUCUCAUGCAGACACACCAGCCCAGCAGGAGGAAAAUCCUGCUUCUCCUG
rnacentral:lncRNA from 9 species